AAUGAACGCUGGCGGCAUGCCUUACACAUGCAAGUCGAACGGCAGCAUGACCUAGCUUGCUAGGUUGAUGGCGAGUGGCGAACGGGUGAGUAAUGCAUCGGAACGUGCCGUUUAGUGGGGGAUAACGUAGCGAAAGUUACGCUAAUACCGCAUAUUCUCUGAGGAGGAAAGCAGGGGACCUUCGGGCCUUGCGCUAGAAGAGCGGCCGAUGUCGGAUUAGCUAGUUGGUGAGGUAAAGGCUCACCAAGGCAACGAUCCGUAGCGGGUCUGAGAGGAUGAUCCGCCACACUGGGACUGAGACACGGCCCAGACUCCUACGGGAGGCAGCAGUGGGGAAUUUUGGACAAUGGGCGCAAGCCUGAUCCAGCCAUGCCGCGUGAGUGAAGAAGGCCUUCGGGUUGUAAAGCUCUUUCGGCUGGGAAGAAAUCGCACCCUCUAAUACAGGGUGUGGAUGACGGUACCAGCAUAAGAAGCACCGGCUAACUACGUG
rnacentral:rRNA from 1 species